AUGGGGUGGAGCUGCAGAGUAGGGGCGGCGACAAGGGGAAGGAGUAGACAAGGGAGGAGCGGAGAAGGUCGUCUCCCGCGCUGCACCGCAGACAAGAGGGUGGCGGGCGGCAGUCGCCGUGGCGGAAGAGAGGAAGACCAGCUGCCACGCAGGGGAGAGGAAGGAAAGUUGCGCCAUAGUGAAAGCGAGGCAGCCCAAGGCUAUCGCGGAGGAGAACGAGGAGGGGCAGCGCUGCCACGGAGGAGAGCGACGAGGAUUGCGGCGUCACUGCAGAUGAGGAGGAGAGCCACUACACCGCACGAUUCCAGUAGCUUCAGUAAGGUUGCUCACCAAUGAGCUGGGAGUAUUUUUGUCCUGGAUACUUGCAUGAUUGAAGAAGAAAUUUGGUAUUCCUAAAUGUGCUAUUAUAGAUAAAAGACAAAGGAAAUGAAGCGCAGGCGCAGUGCCGCUGCAGCCGCCGGAUUUUCUCCCGGGUCAUGGGAGGCGUUUGGGAGGAUCGACUAGGAAGGAUCGAACGGCACCUAGAGAAGACCUGCACAAGGAUGCCACAAAGAUCUCCAAGGAUGUCCUCGACUCUGCCAGACAACAGAUUCCUUUACAAAUUCGAAGCCAGAACUCAAAAAAGAAAGGGCAAGGAAAUGAAGGGUGCAAGACUACUAGAGGCAAAGACAGGCGGACGCGGCCAGAGCAGUAUGGUGGCGUCGAUGGGUGUGGAGGAGUGUGUGAAGAGGUUGUAGAACACCGCUGAGGAGCUUGUCCGCAGGACGAGCUGCUCCCGAUGCUGCAUGGCAACCCAGCCGGAUCUGCCUCGACAGGUUCGAGCCCUCCGUCACGGGCACCGUGCACAUCUGGCAGGGUGUUGGGAAGGUGAUCAAUGUGAACAAGAUGGUCAGGGCCAGAUGGAGUGAAGAUCCUAAUACCGGACCAGAGGCCGACUUGGCAAGAUCAGGAAGCAGCUGGACCACAACAAGGACGUCGGCGGCGGCUUCUCCGCCAUGUGGGAUUAUUCUUUGACCUUUCACAAUUCCUUCAGGCGUCCAUAACAUCAAGCAUAAUUUUGGUGUUUCUUAACCUUUUGCAUUCUACUCUAAUCAUUUAAAUUGGGCCUAUGACUCAGAAGUUUUUUUUAAUACUUUUAGUUGUGAAUUUUGUUUUGUGGUCUUCUUCCUGAUUCGAUGUGAUUAGCAUAAUACUAAAUUUGCCGGCUAUUGAUACUUCUGUGUGAACCAGAUUAAUCUAAAGCACCAAGAUCUGCUCGUUCAUUAUUUUGAUUCAAGCUAAUCGAAUGUUCAUUAUUUUGAGUCAAUACAGUACAAUGGAGAGCUAUCCAUGACAUGUAUGGGAGCAAGGGAACCGGAGGUGCUAGAUGCAGGCACUAAUUGUAUUUAGAGUUUGGCUGCAAUAAUCAAAUCUUUUAGGAUGGUACAACCUUGGACUAGGGGAUACCAUGAACAGAUCUUAGUCAAAUAAUUUAUGAGUGACUUCUACUGUUAACCUUAUCUUUGGUUCAGAAAAUAGGAUCUAGCUUAAGUCAAGUUAACCAUCAAUUUGUUUCAGGGUUAGUCUCUAUUCUUAUCCCAUGUAAAGAAAAUCUGUACUAUGAAUUAAGUGACACCAUGAAAUAAUCUGGAUCAAUAUAAGAAAGAAGAAUUACAAGUUUGUUAAAGAGUGGGGAAUCAGAAGUACAAAAGUAGUAAAUCAAUGAUGGCUUGCUCAUGUUGGUUAUGCUGUAAUCGGUUCCAGUGUGUGAGACAACAACCAAGAGCAGUCUAUUUUAUCAUUCUAAAACAGUACCACUUACACCAAACGUCAGUAUAGUAGCAUGUUCAUAUCAUAAACUAAGAGCGUUAGGAACAUGGGAGGAGAUGGCAAUUAUGGACAUUGGAGAGGAAUAAAUUUGAUCACAUAUACUAUAUAGGGUCUUCUGUAGAUGCAUGUUAGUUGCAGAAGCACAUCCUUGUAUGAUGAAAAUUCUCUUUAUUAUAGUAAAUACAUGAAUAUGAUAGUGCAGUGCAAGACGCUGCUGAUCCAUGAUGGUGGUCAGAGGCAGCAGGAGGCGACGGCGAUGACUGAUAUGGUUGCCGGCAGAUAAAAGGGACACACAGGCAGCUGCGAAGCAUUUCACGGACCAGCCGAUGAACAGGAGAAGCAAAGACGGCAUCUCCUGCAUCGUCGUAAACAUCCGUUGCUAGUAGAGCUUCAGCCUGUGAAUAGGAGGAGCAAAGAUGACAUCU